rnacentral:rRNA from 1 species
UAAUACGUAGGGUGCGAGCGUUAUCCGGAAUCACUGGGCGUAAAGAGCUCGUAGGCGGUUGGAUUAGUCGCAUGUUAAAGACCCAGGCUCAACUUGGGAGAUGCGUGCGAAACUGUCCAGCUAGAGGAUGGGAGAGGUAAGUGGAAUUCCUGGUGUAGCGGUGAAAUGCAUAGAUAUCAGGAAGAACACCAGUGGCGAAGGCGGCUUACUGGACCAUUCCUGACGCUGAGGAGCGAAAGCUAGGGGAGCGAACGGGAUUAGAUACCCCGGUAGUCCUAGCCGUAAACGAUGGGUACUAGGUGUGGGAGGUAUCGACCCCUCCUGUGCCGGAGCUAACGCAUUAAGUACCCCGCCUGGGGAGUACGGCCGCAAGGUUA